CGUCUCUCGGAGGAGAUUGCCCUCAAUAGACCCGCCAUAAAAAAGAUUUUAGUGUUGCUCUUGUGCUUCUGUGCAUCCCACUGCGAGGGGGUCCCAGCGGUCCCUUGGGAAGACAAGGAGUUGUGAGAAGUAACACAACUGGCCACCAGACUAAUCCACUCCCUCUACCUUCCCGCUAGUACCUCCCCCUUCUGCUCUUUUUUUCAAUAGCAGCCCUUUCUCAAAAUCUCAGGUUACUUUGCUAAAGAGUUCUCAGCCCUAUAGUUUCUGCCCUUGUCUCUGCCUCCAGCUCCUUAAGAGCCACCCAGCCCCAGCGAUUGGAUUGGGCAGCCCGUCUUGACACACCACUGUGCUGAGUGCUUGAGGACGUGUUUCAACAGAUGGUUGGGGUUAGUGUGUGUCAUCACACUCGAGUGGGGAUUAGGGGAGAGAGGCAGCCUCGCUGGAGCUGUGUGGUCUUCCCCAAGUGCGAGCUGCAAGCAAAAGAAGAACUACCUAGCUUUGGGGGAGAAGAGGGAGGAAUCGCUUCCAGCAGCUCAGAGGGAAAAAUAAAACCCCACACUUUGUUCAGAUCCUCACACUAACUCUCACAUACCUGUGGUGCUUAUGAAUUAUUGGCCUCCUACUUGUGAAAGAAAUCUAACACUGUCCUCACCACUUACAG